rnacentral:rRNA from 1 species
GGAAUUCGCCCUUAGAGUUUGAUCCUGGCUCAGGACGAACGCUGGCGGCGUGCUUAACACAUGCAAGUCGAACGAUGAUGCUUGGUGCUUGCACUGGGUGGAUUAGUGGCGAACGGGUGAGUAAUACGUGAGUAACCUGCCCCUGUCUUUGGGAUAAGCCUGGGAAACUGGGUCUAAUACUGGAUAUUCUGCUUGAACCGCAUGGUUUUUGUUGGAAAGAUUUUUCGGAUGGGGAUGGGCUCACGGCCUAUCAGCUUGUUGGUGGGGUGAUGGCCUACCAAGGCGUCGACGGGUAGCCGGCCUGAGAGGGUGACCGGCCACAUUGGGACUGAGAUACGGCCCAGACUCCUACGGGAGGCAGCAGUGGGGAAUAUUGCACAAUGGACGCAAGUCUGAUGCAGCGACGCCGCGUGGGGGAUGAAGGCUUUCGGGUUGUAAACUCCUUUCAGUACAGAAGAAGCGAAAGUGACGGUAUGUGCAGAAGAAGCACCGGCUAACUACGUGCCAGCAGCCGCGGUAAUACGUAGGGUGCGAGCGUUGUCCGGAAUUAUUGGGCGUAAAGAGCUCGUAGGCGGUUUGUUGCGCCUGCUGUGAAAACCUGGGGCUUAACUUCGGGAUUGCAGUGGGUACGGGCAGACUAGAGUGUGGUAGGGGUAAUUGGAAUUCCUGGUGUAGCGGUGGAAUGCGCAGAUAUCAGGAGGAACUCCGAUGGCGAAGGCAGGUUACUGGGCCACCACUGACGCUGAGGAGCGAAAGCGUGGGUAGCGAACAGGAUUAGAUACCCUGGUAGUCCACGCCGUAAACGUUGGGCACUAGGUGUGGGGCCUUUCCAUGGGUUCUGCGCCGUAGCUAACGCAUUAAGUGCCCCGCCUGGGGAGUACGGCCGCAAGGCUAAAACUCAAAGGAAUUGACGGGGGCCCGCACAAGCGGCGGAGCAUGCGGUUUAAUUUGAAGCAACGCGAAGAACCUUACCUAGACUUGACAUCUCCUGCAUUACUCUUAAUCGAGGAAGUCUCUUCGGAGACAGGAUGACAGGUGGUGCAUGGUUGUCGUCAGCUCGUGUCGUGAGAUGUUGGGUUAAGUCCCGCAACGAGCGCAACCCCUAUUGUUAGUUGCCAUCAUUAAGUUGGGCACUCUAGCGAGACUGCCCGGGUUAACCGGGAGGAAGGUGGGGAGGACGUCAAAUCAUCAUGCCCCCUAUGUCUAGGGCUACACACGUGCUACAAUGGUCGGUACAAUAAGACGCAAGCCCGCGAGGGGGAGCAAAACUGGAAAACCGAUCUCAGUUCGGAUUGUAGGCUGAAACUCGCCUACAUGAAGCUGGAGUUGCUAGUAAUCGCGAAUCAGCAUGUCGCGGUGAAUAAGGUCCCGGGCCUUGUACACACCGCC